rnacentral:rRNA from 1 species
UACGGGGGGGGCAAGCGUUGUUCGGAAUUACUGGGCGUAAAGGGCUCGUAGGCGGCCAACUAAGUCAGACGUGAAAUCCCUCGGCUUAACCGGGGAACUGCGUCUGAUACUGGAUGGCUAGAGGUUGGGAGAGGGAUGCGGAAUUCCUGGUGUAGCGGUGAAAUGCGCAGAUAUCAGGAAGAACACCAAUGGCGAAAGCAGCUCUCUGGGACGGUACUGACGCUGAGACGCGAAAGCGUGGGGAGCGAACAGG